CAUAUUGGUCCUGUUGAGUUUCUCUAUUACUGGCUUCACAGAGCUCUGCAUCAUCAUUUUCUCUACUCUCGUUAUCAUUCUCAUCACCACUCUUCCAUUGCUACUGAGCCCAUCACUGGUAAUUUGCCUUCAAGAUCGUUUUCCAUCACUUUGAUCAAGUUAUUAAGAGUUAGAACUAUCAAUCCCGGAGAAGAUGCAUAACAAUAUUAGGAUAUGUUAUAAAUGUUCUUGGAACAUAUAUCUGCUUAGUUACAUACGUAAACCAGAAAAUGAAUAAAAAGGCCACUUACUUCCCAGGAAAAUAUUUUCCAGCAUACCAGACACACCCUUAAACUCUUGAUACAUACAAUUGUCAUUGUCAUACUGUAUAUCACAUUCCAUAACACUUCAAUUCUUGUCAUCUUUAAAAAUUUCAGAGUGCUGACAUAACUAAUUCUUGUCAUCAUUAAAAAUUUCAGAGAGCUGACAUAACUAACGGGGAAUAGUGCAAUAUUACCAAUCAAUUACCAACUUCCAUGGUUUAUACAGUAAUUUUUAUUUUAUUUUGGCAGCGGUAAUUCAUCCAUUUGGUGAGCUACUAGCAUAUUAUACGCUCUUCUCCAUACCAUUAUUCACAACAUUAUUCACUGGGACUGCCUCUAUAGCUUCAUUUGGUGCUUAUGUUACCUAUGCUGAUUUCAUGAACCUCAUGGGCCAUUGCAAUUUUGAGCUAAUUCCUAAGUGGAUGUUCUCUAUAUUCCCCCCUCUCAAGUACUUGAUGUAUACACCCUCGUGAGUCUUCUUUCCCUGUAUUUUAAUAAAUUUUUAAGUUCUUUUCUCCGACAUUGCAACACACUAAUUUAUACAACAAUGUCUCUAAUUAGAAAGUAUAAGUAAAUUAAUUAUAACAUGGUUGGUAACUAUAUAACCUCUAUUAUAGGUUGUAAGAAAAAAUUUAUGCUGCUAUAUAGGAAGUCUACAUUAUUUACUAAACCUUUAUGUAAGCCAGCAACUAAGAAGUUGUUGUGUGUUGCUUCUGAAAGAUCUCAAACUUAAUUCAGUUAUUUAGAUAUAGAUUCAAGAACACUUCAUGCUCAUGCAUAUCUAAAAGGCAAUACAGUGAUUGAAGUUACAAUUUGGCUUCUUCUUACAACUUUAUUAGGUACUUAGGGAAAUAAAUAGAAACAAUGGAAAUUAUUGUCUCUUGUGAAAUUUACUUUUCCUAUAUAUAGGCUGCAUUUGUUUUUUUUGUCUGAAUCUGAAUGCACGUCUCAAUGAUUAAGAUGUUGUCUCUAGAUCUGAAAACUGAAUGUUAAGACUAUUUAUUUUUCAACAUCUGAAUGUACAAAAAAAACUAUUUGUAUAUAUAAUAAAAUAAAAAAUACAAUUCAAAUAAAAAACUAAUUAUAUAUCAGAAAAGUAUGUAAUUUAACACGACAAAAUUAUUAUUUGAUUUGAUAAAAAAUAUUUAUGUUUGUUAGUGAUAAUGAAGAUGGUUUAUAAUGGUGGUCGCAGCGACAAUAAUUGAUGUUAGUUAUUAGUAAUGUUAGUGGUGAUAGUUGUGAUGGUUGGUAUUGUAGUGACUGUUAUGAUGGUGACGGUUGAUAGUGGUGGUGGUGGUUGUGAUGUGACAUUGCUUGAUGUUAGUAGUUGGAGGUGUUGAUUAUUAUGGCUGAAAAAUGAAUGAAUGAUGGUUGACGAUGUGUUAGUGCUAGUUGGAGAUAUUGUUAGUUGUGAUGGUGGAGAUGGUUGUUAGUAGAGAUAAAUUGUAGCAAUGAUAGUGAUUAAAGUGAUGGUAGAGGUGUCGUUACAGUGACAAUGAUGGUGGCCACCAAAGAAUGUGUGGAAAUUGUGAUGUAUUAGUGGUAGUUAGCGGUGGUGUUAGUUGCGAUAGAUGUGUUGGGAGAUAGUAAGGAUUGGCCGGUAGUGGUUGAUAAUGGUGGUACGGUUGACGGCAGUGGUAACGUUAAAUAUAAUUAGAAUAAUAGAGGUAGUAGGUGUGGUAGCGGUUGAUAAUAGGGGUUGAUAGCGAUAUUUGUUGUCGAUGGUGGUUGUGAUGAUGGAGGUGGUUGACAAUGAUGGCGAUGGUAGAGGUGGUGACUGAUGAUUAUGAAUAGAGUGGCGGCGAAUAUUUUUUCACACCAGAAUAGCUUUUCAGACCUAUUAAGACUUGAUUCUAGAUCUGAAUGAUUAAGAGCUAUUCAGACCUAUUAGGAGUUAAAAUCUUAAUAAAAAAUAAAUGCACUUAAUGGUCUGAAGUCUAAAUCAUUCAGAUUCAGAUUCAGAGUUCCAUUAAGUGCAAACAAAUGAGCUCAUAGUCUACAGAUUGGUCAGGUCAGUAAUAGCAUGAGGUUCUGUAUUUGUGAUUGUUCAUUCUUCUGAUACUAAUAUAAAUAUUUUGAUGGCACAGGUACCACUCACUACAUCACACCCAAUUCAGAACAAACUAUUCACUUUUCAUGCCAAUGUUUGACUAUAUCUAUGAUACAAUGGAUAAAUCAUCAGAUACAUUGUAUGAAAAGUCACUCGAGAGAGCAGCUGAAGUGCCUGAUGUGGUUCACCUUACACAUCUAACAACCCUAGAAUCCAUCUACCAUCUUCGACUAGGGUUUGCAUCACUGGCAUCGAAGCCUCACGCCUCUAAGUGGUAUUUAUGUUUAAUGUGGCCCAUCGCGCUAUGGUCAAUAAUGCUUACAUGUAUUUCUGGUCACACAUUUGUUGUUGAGAGAAAUUUGUUCAAGAAUCUCAAAUUACAAACUUGGGCUAUUCCAAAGUAUCGCAUACAAGUAAUUAAGUUUGAUUACUAAAAAUUGUUGUUACGUUUUGCAGGUCGGUUGUAAAAGUGAUAAUUAAUUUGUCCUGAUUCUUGAUUUUGUUGCAGUACUUUAUGCAAUGGCAAAGAGAGAGUAUCAACAAUUUGAUCGAGGAAGCGUUUAUUGAAGCAGAUCAGAAAGGCAUAAAGGUGUUGAGCCUUGGACUCUUAAAUCAGGCAAGUCAAAAUAUAUGUUUAAAAGCCUAAUAAUACCCAUCCUUUAUUUAUCUACGAGAAAAAUGCACGACCUAUUCUGAACUGGUAAUAUCCUGCAAACUUAUCGCAGAAUGGUUUGUAAGCAAUCACAACAUUAUGGACGAAAAGAUUUAGAAAGAAUUCACCCAUCAACUUGUAUAAAUGUUGAAGGUUAACUCAUACUUGUGGUUUAUUUCAAAUGUAUGUUUCCAGGUAGAGCAACUGAAUAGGAAUGGUGAAAUUUUCAUAAAGAGGUACCCUCACCUGAAAGUUAAAGUGAUAGAUGGAAGUAGCCUAGCUGUUGCUGUGGUCCUCAACUCCAUUCCUAAAGGAACUUGCCAAGUUGUCCUUCGAGGUCGCUUGUCCAAAGUUGCUAGCAAUAUUGCCCUUGCCUUGUGCGAAGGGGGAAUUCAGGUAUAUUUAACUAUUAAUCUCCAAACAUUUUUGGCUUUAUGUUCUCUCAUUCAUUGUAAUUUUCUAUAUACAAGUCGUCAUGUUAGAUGAAGAAGAUAAAAAGAGAUUUAAAGCAAAGCUUACCCCUGAGGCUGCAACUAAUUUGUUCUUCUCAAAAUCUUAUAGUGUUUCAAAGGUAUAAAUCAAAAAUAUAUUGAAAUACACUGAACUAAAUCUUGACAAUUUAUAACAUCUCCUAGCAACAUCCACUCCAUCCUUUCCUAAUCCAAAGUUUUAUCAUUGUGUUGAGAUCUGAACAAAUCUGAAUUUUAGAAAGUCCAUAUAUAUAUGGAAAAGAAUCUUUCCCAGCAAGUUUUGUCUCCGGUCUAUAGUCUAAAAAGAGGCUCUCGAUUGAAAUAUUAUAUUGCAGACAUCGCUAGUAGGGGAUGAAUUGAGUGAAGAUGAACAAUUGAACGCACCAAAAGGAACAUUAUUUAUUCCUUUUUCACAAUUUCCACCAAGAAAAGCUCGCAAGGACUGCUUCUAUUUCAAUACACCAGCCAUGAUUGCUCCAAAGCAUCUUGAAAAUGUAGAUUCUUGUGAGGUUAGAUAAGAUCAUUCGUUGUUCUUAAUUUCUCUAUACUAAUUUGAUAGUUCAUAAAAAAUAAAGAAAUUCAUGAGUGAUCUUUCUUUUUAGAAUUGGCUACCAAGAAGAGUGAUGAGUGCCUGGAGAAUAGCUGGAAUUGUGCAUGCAUUGGAAGGUUGGAAUGAGCAUGAAUGUGCUGACAUGAUGCUUGUACUGAAAAAGUGUGGAAAGCUAGUCUGGAACAUGGUUUUUGCCCAUUAACCAAGAUUUCUGCUGCUUAAUCAAAGGGCUAAAAUUAUAUAUAAACUUCUCUUUCUAUUUCGAAUCUUGGAUCUACAACGACUUAAAAGUUUGUAAAAUAUUUCCUACAACACUUUGUGCAACAAAAACUAUCAGUAUGUUGCUCAAGGUUAUGCCCUUCUUUCAACAAAAUUUACCCUUUUGUAGGGUAUAUAAAAAGUGUGCACAGUGCUAACCUACUAUCAGAUGUAAUAGCUAGCAAAGGCCAUUAAUAUAAAGGUUUGAGGUAUCUUAUUAAGAAUUGGCUUAAGAACAACUACUCCAUUGAGCUACCCCUGGGCCAAACCUCUCCUCCUCCGCUCCAUGCUCCCCAAACUAACCCCCUACAGACGUCGCGACAUUUGGUUAAUAUGAGCAACUAGCAUAGUUUGUUUAUGUUCUUGCCACAAAUUGACACUCAGCUAAAACUGACGAAGUUUCACUUAUUAUGGUUCAACCUCAAUCUAGUAAUUGUACUAGAUCAGUGGUGGCCUGAUCACAUAGUAAUACAACCAGUGGUCCGAAGUACUCCGAAGUAUGAGGUCUAAUUUGAAGAAAGGAAAGUUAAGUUACACUAUAUUCCUCUCUAAUCCCCAACCACGAACGAGAAAAGUAAGAAAACAAAGGGUAACAAGUUUGCGUUCACACAAAAGAACGUCAGACCUUAUUGUUGGUACAUUGUAGCAGUUAAUUUCAAUCAUUACUGACCAUCAAACCAACACAUGUUCAAUCGUUAUUUCAAAUCAUUUGUGUUCUGGCAGAAAAUCAUAUAUGAAUCCCUGCUAAAACAUCAAGUAGCUAUCUUAAGUUGACAAGAGGGAUUGCUCAGGUGGUAAGCACCCUCCUCCUCCAACCUAAUGUUGUGGGCUCGAGUCACCAAAGGAGCAAAAAAAGUGAGAGCUCCCACGGAGGGUUAGUAAAAAAACUAUAUUUAGUUUAGGAUGGAUAUAUGGAUAAUAGAGCACUCAAUAUAUAAUAAAUGAAGCUGUAUACGUUCUUCAACUUAAAUACUCGGAUGCUGAACAAGUUACCAGAGAAAAAUCAAACGGACACAUCACUAAAACGUAAGAGGUUUCAGUCACUCGAGAAAGACAUAUGCAGGACUAUUUUACUUAAAUCUUAAUAUUAGUCAAUUAGUUAGAUUACAACAUUGAUAUAUGCUCAGAAUACAUAUUGCAUUUUAGAAAUUGGGAUUACUAAAAGAAAGCUCAACUUUCUUGGAUGUGAAUGGAAGUUUGCACUUAUGGACUAUAUAUACCGAGAAGCAGGCACACUUUAUCUCGACAUUCAAAUUAUGAAAAACAAAAAUGUGGUGUGGGCCUUUUAGCUCCAUAAUAGUUGAAGAGAAAUGUGAAAAAGGUAAACAUAGGACCAAAAAAUGAUCAUCCUUUUUUGUAUCUGCUGAACAGAUGCGUACAUUCUAUUGGUUAAGAUAGAUAUUCCAAAGGUCAAUUACGAAGUACUGGAUAUUCAAAUGAAAAAUAUUCAAAUGCUAUGGACGAAAUUAUAUAACACUCAGAAAAAUUGGUAGAGGGCUGAAACUGGAGAACACGAAAAUACUGAGAUAAAUUCUCAAGUGAAGUAGCUUGUUCAUACGUGUUCCAAUAGGUUUUGCCAAUAUUCUUUUUUUUUUUUUUCCGAUUGUUCAUCAAGUGCAAUAUAAUCCUUUUCUUUUUCUGUUUGAUCUUAUUAUUAUUAUUAUUUCUAAUUGGAAUUCUGUUAAAUAUUCAAGUUCCUUUAGGUUCAAAGAUCAAAAACACAUAUUUAAUUUAAUUGAAGGUUAGUUUUGCCAAGUCAAAUAACAGGGAGAUCAAAGUGACAAUAGUGCAGGGGAGCUAUGAUCUAUAAUAGAAACUGGAAGUUGUUUAGAAAUACAGGAUAGAAGUAAACAAAGAUCCAAAAGAAUCUAAGGACUAAACUAGACAUGAUACAACACUCUAAGGGAGCACAGAGAUGUAGAGAGUUAGGUCAUAGACUUUGCAGUUAGUCGAUGUGUUUGGUCUUGUUGAGGCUUAGCUGACUAGGGGCACUCUUCCUAGAAGGUGGUCCUUUUAGUCCUAGGUGCUCUUUUUGUGUAAAGAUUCUUUUGUUAUCCAUGGUAAUUUCACAGUUACUAAAAAAAAAAAAAAAAGUGACAAUAAUGCAAUUACUCAAAGACUAAAAAUGAUAUUUUUUUUCAUCCAUGCAGAGAAGGAUUUUUUGCAAAAGAUCGUGGUCUUUAUGUGAAUGUGAAUGCAACAAGUUCAAUUAGUUAUAUUUAAUACAACUAUGGAAAAUUUGAGAAAAAAAUAAAACUCUCUUGAUUUACCAAAAUGGACAAGUACUCCCACCCUUCUACAAUACAUGUCCAAUAUAUUCAAAAUAGAUGUCUAACAAUACUUGUUCAGUUUGAAAAGUCAAUGGAUAAUUUACCCAUUUCUAUCCAUUUUACGCUUGGCAUUAAAUAUGCAACACCCCGCAUUUUCGGGCUAGAACAUAAAUCGUCAUUUCUACGCGUAGAUGUUCCAAAAGGCCAUAAAUCCAAUUCAAAUUUUGUGUGUUAAUCAAUUAUGUAGUGUGUGAACCUAUUUAAGCAUGAAUUGAGAUUAUAGAGGUCCCCUAACUCAAGGACGAGUUGAAAGCUUUCCUAUCAUUCGAGUUUGAGUGAGCGUCAAAACUUAGGGAAACUUCAAUAGACCAUAACUCUUUGUAUAUAAUGAAUUAGAGGGCCUACUAUAUAUCAAGUGAAAGCUCUUUGAAUUAACUUUCAACUAUACCAAUUUCACCCAAAUACGAUAUCGGAGAAAAAAGUUAUGCCCGUUUUACUCCAGCAUAUCAACCUGGAAACUGUCUGAUGACAUAUCUGACGGCUUAUCACAUUUCUGACGACAUUUCUGACGCCUUAUCAGAAAAUGUCGUCAGCCUUAGGCAGAAAAUCAUAAAUUUCAGCUCCUAGGUGACGACCUGGGCUGACGGGCUAUCACGGAUUUGACGGCUUUUCAGCCUUGGUCGUCAGCUGAAAAUUUCAGCAACGGAGAAGUGAUUUCGUAGGGGUAUUUUGGUCUUUCUCUCACUCCAAAAACCUUCUCCACAAAUAUAAAUUGAACCCUAAGCAUUAUAAUCCAUAUAAUAUCAGUUUUACAACAUCUCAAUCAUCUCUACUCUGAAGAACAAGAUGGAAACUAGGGUUUCCUCCAAGAUCAAGAAAUCAUGAAAAUCAAUCCUUAAGUUCAAGAUCUCCAAGAAACAAAUUAAGAUUCAAGUUUCCUUCCUUUCCAUAGAUUAAGAAUUCAUCUUCCUAAGUGAAGCUAUUCAAGAAACGGAUCAAGAUCCGGGUUUCAUCUAUCUAGAUCCGGAUUCCAUCUUUCAGAUCUUAUAAUUUAAGGUACGCAGGAUUUUCCUAAAAUCUCAUGGGCAUAGGAAUCAUGUUUUUAGGAAAAAGGGUUUCAGACUUAUAAACAUAUUCAUGUUUUAGAAGCAUUGAUGAUAUUGUUUUGGCCUUUAGGUCUUCCCCCAAAUUGAUUUAAAGUGAUUUAUGUAUAUAUGUAUGUGUUUUAAGGUUGAUGAUUGAAUUGAGAGCAUGAUUCAUGUAAAAUCCCUCUCUGGUUAUGAUUUUUCCUUUACUUAUGACAUGCUAUGGAUUGUUCCGAAUGUGUUUCGAAAGCCUUGAUAUGAAAGGUCUUGAAUAACGUCAUGUUCGGAUUAUGAUUUUGAUUUCAAAAGAGAGAGGGUAAUUUAUGUUGAUAAAUGUGAAAAUAUUCAUAUAAUGAAAGAGUGCAUGAUUUUGCCAAAAACAUAUGACCACUAUAUGUUUGAGGAAUUCUUGCAUAGUUUUGACUUAUGUUUCGAAACAUGAAAUCUCUUAAACUAUUUGCAUGUUUGGGUGGUCUAAAUUGAGUUUUCAUGACAGAAUCAUGCAUGAUACAUUAUGGCUCAGAAAUAAGACUUGCAAGUCUUGGUGUGACAACACCAAUUCAGAUUAUGCCAUGGUAAUUCAGAACAAAAUAUAAUGCAUAUUUGAAAUCAGAUUUUUCAGAUGUUGAAACUAGAAAAAUGCAUGAUUCAGAAUAGGAUAAAAUGGGGCAUAAAGAGAGCUUAGGUGGUUCCCCGAAGAAGGCACGAGUUCAGACAACUCAUUGUCCUAAAUUGUGAUUUGCCUAUCUGGGUAUAUUAUAUUAUGCUGGCCUAGUGCCGUAUGGCGUAUCAAAAUUAGAAACUCCAACCCUUGUGGCACACUUGGGUUGGGGGCUUCCCCGCCGAGUCAAUGGCGGAUUUCAUAUGGCUCGUGGGAUUUUAGACUUGUAGGGGUGUACCAUCUAACUCAGAAUUAAUUCGAAGAUUAGAAACUGCAUUGUCAAGAAUGAUUUAUAAUUUUUCAGAAAAGUGCCCAUGUGUUUUGAAAACUAUUUUAUGUAUGAUGUUUUGACAAAUUGCUCUCCAUUAUUUUAUUUAUAUAAAAGCUUUAUUUUGGAUUGCUCUGCGUACCAGUACAUCUGUAUUGACCCUCUCUCUCCUUCCAGGUUCUGAGGCACAGUCUAGGGGUCCUGAUAAGCAGUAGAUUUCAUCAGACAGGAGUGAAGAGUAUUAGUUGGUGAGCCUUCUAUAUUUCAGAAGGCCUAGUUUCUUUCAGACAGUAAUUAUUUAUUAUGGUUUUGGUCUACUGGGGGCUUUGUCCCAGUUUUCAGACAGUUGUUAUUUGAUCAUGUAGUAGAUAUUUCGCAGACGGUUUUCAAACGGUGUUUAGUUGUUAUUGAAUUAUUUUCCUCAUUGUUAAACUAAAUUUAGAUUAUGACCAUGUUUCCAUAGUAGAUUUUAUUUUCGCAUUUCCUAUUUAUAUAUGAAUGGUGUAUAUGAUUAAAAGUUAGAAGGGCUCUCGGGCCUUCGUGGUUCAGGAUGUCCGUCACGGCCAGGGCCCUAGUUUGGAUCGUAACAAACUUGGUAUCAGAGCCCGGUUUAUGGUCCCAGGGUGUCUGUCUGUCAAAUCGCGUUGGGUAGAGUCUUGUUUAUGGGUGUGUAGCGCGCCACACAUAUAAGAAGGAGGCUACAAGGUGUUUAGGAAUGUCUCCCUUUCUUUAUGUUCUAGUUCGUGCUAUGGAGUUAGAAUGUUCCUCUUUCAUACUCUAAUUCAUGCUAUGGUGUCCCCCAUAUGAAAGUAACAGUCAUCCCUAUUCUUUCCUUACUAUGAUGUUCUCAGACAUGUCUCAUUAUUGGGGUGAUUCAAGUGCAGAAGCUUAGAGUUUAAAUGGUAUGGUCCUUUCUGAUUGAGCCAUAUAACAUUUUGAAAUUGUGCAUGGACUUGUGAAGAGUCCAUUAGUGCUUCGGGGUGUAUUGAUUCUAGUAUGAACCUUGAUCUUGAUAAAAUCGUGCUUUUUAGCCUGCGGUAUUAAAUGUAUUCUGUCUUUUUCAAAAAUUUAUGUUGCAGAUGUCAUGCUUAAGGGAGGAUCAUGUGUAACAGAAUGUUGGAACUGUAUUUCCACCCGAUUAGUAGUAUAAGUUAAGUGUCGGUGUCAUGACCUAUUGGUAGUGAUAUUGGACCAAGAAGUUGGUGAUGUGAAGUCACAAAGUUAAAAGUUAGAGUGAGGGUGACUUUUGUGUAAAUAAAUAUUUUAGUUGCAUAACCGAUGUUUAAGGAUGAUCUACCCCUUUAUAGUGAUAGACUAAUGUGGUAGCUAAUAGCAUGUGUGUAUUGCAUGGUAGUCUGUGGGGAAAGUGUUUGACUUAGAUUUUUAUUUAUACAGAGUAAGAUGUGUAUCCUUAGAUCACUGAUUAUUGUGUGUUAAUUUUCUAUCUCUUAUACUAUGUAAUCUUGUUAUCAUAGUGUUUUUGAAAAAAUCAAAGUCUAGUGAAGUCGUGUGGGGCUCUUUCGAUUCACUAGUAUAGUUUCUUUGUUAUUCAUUUUAUUUUCUUGUUCAGAACACAAAAAUCAAAGUCUAGUGAAGCCUUGUGAGGCCUAUUUCGAUUCACUAGCAACUUGUUGUUCUGGUGUUGGUUGAAUAUUUGUAUAGUCGAAUCUUUUCGCAUGAGAUUGAGUUGGUAAUGAAGUGAUACGUCCUUGUGUGUUAGUUUAGUAGAAAGUAGAGAAGGAGUUAUUAGUUAAGGUGAAUUGUUGUCCGCUUGAAGUAUGAAAAUGGCUAGAUAAGCCAGUAAGUAAUAAUUAUAGACUCAUGGUUAUUUGUGGAAUUUAAAGGUAGUCUAAAUGUAUGCUUGGGCAAGUAAGUGUGAUGUGCGAAAACCGUACAAGUAGAUAAGAUUGUAUGGGGUUAUAAUAUAAGAUUAAGGUUGACUAUGUCUAUUACGUGACUUUGCCCCCCUUGACCUUCUUUUCGUUGGUAGUUGUAAACUAGUACUACUUGUGAGAAGGUACGUAGUGUAUUUUUGAGGUAUUGGAUGGAAUAUCCCAAUUUGAUGGACUAGUAUAUCGUGUUGCAUUCUUCAUUGGAGGUAAAUGAUUGAUGUUAGACUACAGGCUUGAAUUUAAUGUAGAAUGUGGUUGUAAGAAUAGUGGCUUAAGAUUAAUGAUGUAUGUUUUGCGUGAAUUAUGUGUAAGGUUGGGUUGUAAAUCAUGUUUAGCACUAGACGUUAAGUUUGAACAGUUGACGUCCAUGAAGGUAGAUGUGAUGAUUUCUUGGUUAAUGAUACUAGUUAUAUAGAAGUGAUCUAAUAGGCUUGAACGGUUUAUGCAAGAGCUUAAGUUUUUUGAUUCGUAAUGAAGUAUGAUGUUGUAUGUAUGAUGUAGAAUUAUGCCCAAGGUGAUAUGGAGUUGCGGCAUUUUCUAAGACUAUUACAUGUUGCGUGUGGCUAGUAGUACUGUUGAGUUGCUAGGUGGGGAAAUAUUAGUAGAUGGUAUAUGGUGUUCUAAAUAGCAAAGUUAAGAAGUUUUAAUUAAUAGUGUUGAGCCUUAUGAUAUGAUCUUGAUUCGCAUGACAGAGAGAUAUAAGUAUGGAGUCGCUAUUGGUAGGCUAUGACGAAAGUAGUAUGGUUCAUCAAAGGCUUGGUGAUACCCAUGUUAAGUGUUAGAAUUUAAGUUUGAGUUUUUGAAGAUUGAGCUAAUAGAAAUAAGGGUUGAGGCACUAGAGGGUGUACACUCCGACUAUAGGGAUACUUAUGAAGAUCCGAAGUUAGUAAGUAUGCAAAAACUAUAUGAUGACUAUUGAUGGCUAUAGAAAGAUAAAGUGUAUCUCAGAAGGUAGUAUUAACAGUUGAUUUUUCACUUUUAGGUGUAGUCAUUCGGUUUAAGUUCUAUGAUAUGCGUGUAUGGUUGUUUUCCAGACCCCAAAGUGCAAUGAGUAGUUCAGUUUAAAGUCUAGAAAGAGAUCUAUCAAACUUAAGAUGAUGGCUUGAAGCUAAGGGGGGAUGAUAGAACAAAUAACCGAGUCAGGCUCUCAGAUUAUGAUAGUAAUGCCAGUAUGAUAUAGAACAUUAAAAAGUGAGGGUGAGACUCAACCCAUUCUUAUCUCAGUAUUUUUCAGCUAUCCCAAUACCUACUCAUGCUUUGCGCUUUGGUUCCAUGAUCAUAGUUCAUGUUCAUGCAUAUGAUAGAGAGUCAUAUACUCUUCCAAUUUUAAAAUGAGGAGUUCCAGUUCAUUCAGUAGUCGGAAUCACAUUCCAUAUGCUAUGAAAUUCAAAUUGAGGUCAUGCAGCUCAUGACUCAUGUACUCACAUUUUAUAGUGUGCUUAGUUCCUAUAACUCAUGCUAUACUCCUAAUGAUUAGCAAAAAAAAAUUUAGCUUAUAGACAUGUAUGCCCUCAAUUCAGAUUUACUUUGAUGAAUCCUUGAUGUUGAUUCGCUAUUGCUCAGGCCUCAGUUAAGUAUCAACCAUCGUAUAAUAUCCUUCCGUACUUCAAGAUCUUAUAUUCUAACCUUUUAGUGACUCCUCCUUAUGUGAUGAUAGUGGUAACGAGUAAAUGUUUUUUGUUGAUGGAAGAUCACUGUAUACUUAUUUUAGAUAAGGCCAUAAGAGUGAAGUGAGAUUUGGGGCCAAGUCUUUGAUACAUGUUAUGGUUAGUUGAAAUUUGUGUGUGUAUAUUCCUGGGGUAGCACGUGGGAGUUAUAUUGACAAUGUUUUAAAGACUAUUUGAAGUAUGUAUUUACGGGUGUUUGCCUUGAAGUUCAUAGGCGGUUAUAAAAUAGGCCUGAAUGUCAUGUUGGGAUUUAAGUGGAGAAAUGUAAUAUGCGCUAGUGAAUCCAUAGUAAGAGUUCAGAUUUAGUCAUUGAAGUGGUAGGCACAUUAUGCUUAGGAUGUGAUAAAAAAAGAUAUGGAAGGUUGAAUCAUAUGGUUUAGAAUAGUAUCGUGGGUGGCAUGUUGUAUUUUGUGAUUUAGAGUUAAGCUUGAUCACAAUGAAAGAUUUAAGCUACUUUAGACAUUAGUAGAAAGAUUUAUCAAUGCCCAUAUAAGAAUUAUAAGUUGAAUCAANNNNNNNNNNNNNNNNNNNNNNNNNNNNNNNNNNNNNNNNNNNNNNNNNNNNNNNNNNNNNNNNNNNNNNNNNNNNNNNNNNNNNNNNNNNNNNNNNNNNNNNNNNNNNNNNNNNNNNNNNNNNNNNNNNNNNNNNNNNNNNNNNNNNNNNNNNNNNNNNNNNNNNNNNNNNNNNNNNNNNNNNNNNNNNNNNNNNNNNNNNNNNNNNNNNNNNNNNNNNNNNNNNNNNNNNAAAGAGUGUUGAAGAGAUACUCCAGUUAAGCAUAAGAUUCGAGUAUAAUUCAUCCUUUAUAAAACACAAUUCAGUUUAACAGUCGGGCAGACAAGUAUUGUGGUUUCCUACCUUUUCACUCGGUCCCACUAACCGAAGUCUUAUGCUUAUGACCAUCCCAAGAUAUAAGUUAUUCCACCCGUGUAAAUUAUGAAUUCAGUUCAAUACAAGCAUCAUGUUUCAGAUUCAGGUAUCUAUUCAUGACUCGAUGCAUAAGAGUUCAGCAUAUAAUCUCAAAAUUUUCCAAGUAUUUUAGCUCAGGUAGUAUAAAUACCCUAGUACAAUCUAAGUCUUGUUGUAUCGUGAUUCGUACUUGCAUAAGUCAUCGCUUCCCAAUUUCAAUAUGUAUGAUUGGAUCAUGAACAUUUCAAGGGAAUCCUAAAAUUCUCAGCAUGAAUUAGCUCCUUGAAGCAAGUAAAGUCAAGUCAGCUCAGAAUUCAGUUUCAUGAUAGAAGUUUAAAUGUUUCAGCUCGGCUAUAUCCUUUCUUAAAAGACAUAUCAUUUCCAUGUUAUUUCAUACCUUAAAGACUUCAACAUUCCUACCCAUCAUUCGGGGACGAAUGAUCCCAAGGGGGAGAUAAUGUAACACCUCGCAUUUUUGGGCUAGAACAUAAACCGUCAUUCCUACGCGUAGAUAUUCCAAAAAGCCAUAAAUCUAAUUCAAAUUUUGUGUGUUAAUCAAUUAUGUAGUGUGUGAACCUAUUUAAGCAUGAAUUGAGAUCAUAGAGGUCCCCUAACUCAAGGACGAGUUGAAAGCUUUCCUAUCAUUCGAGUUUGAGUGAGUGUCAAAACUUGGGUCAACUUCAAUAGACCAUAACUCUUUGUAUAUAAUGAAUUAGAGGACCUACUAUAUAUCAAAUGAAAUAUCUUCGAAUUAGCUUUUCAACAAUACCAAUUUCACCCAAAUCCAAUAUCGGAUCAAAACGUUAUGCCUGUUUUACUCCAGUAUAUCAGCCUGGAAAUUGUCUGAUGACAUAUCUGACGGCUUAUCACAUUUCUGACGACAUUUCUGACGCCUUAUCAGAAAAUGUCGUCAUCCUUAGGCAAAAAAUCAUAAAUUUCAGCUUCUAAUUGACGACCUGGGCUGAUGGGCUAUCACAGAUUUGACGGUUUUUCAGCCUUGGUCGUCAGCUGAAAAUUUCAGCAACGGAGAAGUGAUUUCGUAGGGGUAUUUUGGUCUUUCUCUCACUCCAAAAACCUUCUCCACAUAUAUAAAUUGAACCCUAAGCAUUAUAAUCCAUAUAAUAUCAGUUUUACAGCAUCUUAAUCCUCUCUACUCUGAAGAAUAAGAUGGAAACUAGGGUUUCCUCCAAGAUCAAGAAAUCAAGAAAAUCAAUCCUUAAGUUCAAAAUCUCCAAGAAACAAAUUAAGAUUCAAGUUUCUUUCCCUUCCAUAGAUCAAUAAUUCAUCUUCCUAAGUGAAGAUAUUCAAGAAACAGAUCAAGAUCCGGGUUUCAUCUAUCUAGAUCCGGGUUUCCUCUUUCAGAUCUUAUAAUUUAAGGUACGCGGGGUUUUCCUAAAAUCUCAUGGGCAUAGAAAUCAUGUUUUUAGGAAAAAAGGUUUCAGACUUAUGAACAUAUUCAUGUUUUAGAAGCAUUGAUGAUAUUGGUUUGGCCUUUAGGCCUUCCCUAAAUUGAUUUAAAGUGAUAUAUGUAUAUAUGUAUGUGUUUUAAGGUUGAUGAUUGAAUUGAGAGCAUGAUUCAUGUAAAAUCCCUUUCUGGUUAUGAUUUUUCCUUUACCUAUGACAUGUUAUGGAUUGUUCCGAAUGUGUUUCGAAAAGCUUGAUAUGAAAGGUCUUGAAUAAAGUCAUGUUCGGAUUAUGAUUUUGAUUUCAAAAGAGAGAAGGUAGUUUUUGUUGAUAAAUGUGAAAAUAUUCAUAUAAUGAAAGAGUGCAUAAUUUUGCCAAAAGCAUAUGACCACCAUAUGUUUGAGGAAUUCUUGCAUAGUUUUGACGUAUGUUUCGGAACAUGAAAUCUUUUAAACUAUUUGCAUGUUUUGGUGGUCUGAAUUGAGUUUUCAUGAAAGAAUCAUGCAUGAUACAUUAUGGCUCAGAAAUAGGACUUGCAAGUCUUAGUGUGACGACACCAAUUCAGAUUAUGCCAUGAUAAUUCAGAACAGAAUAGAAUGCACGUUUGAAAUCAGAUUUUUCAGAUGUUGAAACUAGAAAAAUACAUGAUUCCGAAUAGGAUAAAAUUGGUCAUAAAGAGAGCUUAGGUGGUUUCCCGAAGAAGGCACGAGUUCAGACAACUCAUUAUUCGAAACCGUGAUUUGCCGAUCUGGGUAUAUUAUAUUACGCUGGCCUAGUGCCGUGUGGCGUAUCAGAAUUAGAAACUCCAACCCUUGCGGCACACUCGGGUUGGGGGCUUCCCCGCCGAGUCAAUGACGGAUCCCAUAUGGCCCGUGGGAUUUUAGACUUAUUGGGGUGUACCACCUAACUCAGAAUUAAUACAAAGAUCAAAAACUGCAUUGUCAAGAAUGAUUUACGAUUUUUUCAGAAAAAUGCCCAUGUGUUUUGAAAACUAUUUUAUGUAUGAUGUUUUGAUAAAUUUCUCUCCAUUAUUUUAUUUAUAUAAAAGCUUUAUUUUGGAUUUUAUUUAUACAGAUGUAUUGACCCUCCCUCCCUCCAGGUUCUAAGGCACAAUCUAGGGGUCCUGAUAAGCAGUAGAUUUCAUCAAACAGGAGUGAAGAGUACCAGUUGGUGAGCCUUCUAUAUUUUAGAAGGCCUAGUUUCUUUCAGACAGUUAUUAUUUAUUAUGGUUUUGGUCUACUGGGGCCUUGUCCCAGUUUUCAGACGUACAGUUAUUAUUUGAUCAUGUAGUAGAGAUUUCGCAGACGGUGUUUAGUUGAUAUUGGCUUUUAUUCCUCAUUGUUAAACUAAAUUUAGAUUAUGACCAUGUUUCCGUAGCAGAUUUUAUUUCCGCAUUUUCUAUUUAUAUAUGAAUGGUGUAUAUGAUUUCAAGUUAGAAGGGUUCUCGGGCCUUCAUGGUUCGGGAUGUCCGUUACUGUCAGGGCCCUGGUUCGGGUCGUGACAAAAUAAUACUAUUCAUAUGGUAAAAUUGUAUCUAUUAUUUAUUGUUUGCCAAGUCAAUAACGGAUAAGUAUUAUUGGACGGAAGGAGUAAAAUAAAACAUUAGUUUUGAUACAGACACCAAGGUAAAAUGAUGGAGGGUGACUGAUGAGUACACCCUAAGUAAUAGUACUCAUAACUAGGAGUACUCUUUAAGUUGUGAAAGUCUUCGAUCUCCAUGUGUUAGCUAGUUGCUGGAGACAAACACCAUCUUAAUUCUUAUAUAUCUCUCUGGACGCACAUGACGUUGAUAUGAUUAUGAGCAACAAAUCCCAAAAGAUAAGCUCUUACAUAACAUUAAUAUGCAUCAGUUUUUCAUUUUUGAGUCAAUUUACUAAACAAAUUGUUCAUUAUUAUAAGUAAGUUCACUGGAAACCUCAUUAAUGACUCGCUACAGCCUACAUAGAGACCAAUAAUAGUAAUAAUUAUAAUGAUAAUGGAAGAGUAUAAUCCAAAUUAAAAUGUUAUGUCACAUUUAAACAACAGGGCUACAACGUCUACUUUCAUACUCAAUCUACUUCAUUACCGUGGUGUCUGCGCCUGCUUUCUCGCGCCUUGACUAAAUCUACAAUAUACCUGUCAUCUCCCUCCAGCAACAAUCGAUAUCAGGUUACUCCGUCCACCACACCAAGGAAACGUGACAUUAUUUCUAUGUUCGUUAAAAUGAAUGAUACAUUUCUAUACUUUGAAAACAACUACUAACUCUUAGUUAGAAGCUUUUACAGCUACAAAAAUAUUAUUACGUGUUUAAGAUUACAAUUUUCAAAAGAUUUUAUUUCAUGUUUAAAUUUUGUUCUAAGUCAAACUAUGUAAUGUUGAAAUGGAGAGAGUACUAAGAAAAGAAAAAAAUAUGAAUCGAACUUGUAGUUGGACACAACUCACCAGAUAUCUCGUUCCUGCAUAUCAAAUUAUCACAUGUUGAUUAGGAUUGACUUUGAAUGAAUAUAACUUCAGAAGGUUGUCAAAAGAUUGAAGACACGUUCCCUCUAUAACAGAAUUCAAU
rnacentral:lncRNA from 1 species